CAUGCAAGUCGAGGGGAAACGACAUCGAAAGCUUGCUUUUGAUGGGCGUCGACCGGCGCACGGGUGAGUAACGCGUAUCCAACCUGCCCACCACUUGGGGAUAACCUUGCGAAAGUAAGACUAAUACCCAAUGACGUCUCUAGAAGACAUCUGAAAGAGAUUAAAGAUUUAUCGGUGAUGGAUGGGGAUGCGUCUGAUUAGCUUGUUGGCGGGGUAACGGCCCACCAAGGCGACGAUCAGUAGGGGUUCUGAGAGGAAGGUCCCCCACAUUGGAACUGAGACACGGUCCAAACUCCUACGGGAGGCAGCAGUGAGGAAUAUUGGUCAAUGGACGAGAGUCUGAACCAGCCAAGUAGCGUGCAGGAAGACGGCCCUAUGGGUUGUAAACUGCUUUUAUAAGGGAAUAAAGUGAGAGUCGUGACUCUUUUUGCAUGUACCUUAUGAAUAAGGACCGGCUAAUUCCGUGCCAGCAGCCGCGGUAAUACGGAAGGUCCGGGCGUUAUCCGGAUUUAUUGGGUUUAAAGGGAGCGUAGGCCGGAGAUUAAGCGUGUUGUGAAAUGUAGACGCUCAACGUCUGCACUGCAGCGCGAACUGGUUUCCUUGAGUACGCACAAAGUGGGCGGAAUUCGUGGUGUAGCGGUGAAAUGCUUAGAUAUCACGAAGAACUCCGAUUGCGAAGGCAGCUCACUGGAGCGCAACUGACGCUGAAGCUCGAAAGUGCGGGUAUCGAACAGGAUUAGAUACCCUGGUAGUCCGCACGGUAAACGAUGGAUG
rnacentral:rRNA from 1 species